AUCGACUUAACUGAACUCACAAUUGAUCGUCAGGUCCAAAGCGAACCUUCUCAAUCAAAACAGCGUUAAAUUUAACGUCAAUUUCUUAAACAGAAAUGAAAUCAUUCCUCAUUGCGACUUGCUUGGCUCUGUUCCUCAUCGGAACAUGCGUGGCGAUGGAUGCCGAUGCGUCGGCGGACAAGCCAGCCCACAUUUUAAUUCCGGACAGGGAAGCUCUAGCCAUGGAGGGGGCGGAUCAAGACCUUGCCGAGACGAAACAUUGGUGGUAUGGACACAAAUACGACUGGGAUAACAAAAAACACGGGGACCACAAGGGCGGACACUGGGAAGGCAAAGAAGGAAAAGCCUGGUGGUGGAAAUGGCAUUAAAUUGUCUUCCGAUACGCACAUAUCAAAUUUCAAUUGUAAUACUGUACAUGGUGUUUUUGUUUUCACCCUUUCGACCGUAAAUGGACUGCGGUUCCAACCGUCGGCUCCUGUGUUUUAUACUAUUGACAUUUGGACAAUUAAAUACUGUAAGAACGAA